GAGGAGAGUCUGGAAGGAACCCAAAGGCUCUAGAGGCUAGAAAUUGGCAGUCAGGAUGUGUGUAAGGCCACGCUCCCUCUGAAGACUCCAGGGGAGGAUCUUUCCUUGCCUCCUCCAGCUUCUGGUGGCUGCCAGCAUCCUUGGCAUUCCUUGGCCUGUGGACACAUCACUCUCAUCUCUGCCCAUGGUCACCCCAGAACCCCAAGCUCCAGAAUACAGACCAGCAGGCGAGGAGACAAGGAGGCAAGCAGAUGGAUGGUGGAACAAAGUGGCAGAGAAAGAGAGAAGAGGAGAGAUGUCUGGACGCCAAGAGGAGUCUGGCUGGGGCCAGUCAGAGAAGAGUCCAGCGGCUGGGCAGCCCGACUCCAGGGGAAGAUCACCUUCCCACUCCAUCCCCCUUCACGCUCCCCAUCCAUCUCACUAAGAG
rnacentral:lncRNA from 1 species